CAGUCGCCGCGGGAAUACGAAGGGGGCUAGCGCUGUUCGGAUUUACUGGGCGUAAAGGGUGCGUAGGCGGACUGAUAAGUCAGGGGUGAAAUCCCAAGGCUCAACCUUGGAACUGCCUUUGAUACUGUUAGUCUUGAGUUCGAGAGAGGUGAGUGGAACCGCGAGUGUAGAGGUGAAAUUCGUAGAUAUUCGCAAGAACACCAGUGGCGAAGGCGGCUCACUGGCUCGAAACUGACGCUGAGGCACGAAAGUGUGGGGAGCAAACAGGAUUAGAUACCCCUGUAGUCCCUGUCUCUUAUAC
rnacentral:rRNA from 1 species